rnacentral:rRNA from 1 species
AACGAACGCUGGCGGCAGGCCUAACACAUGCAAGUCGAACGCUGUAGCAAUACAGAGUGGCAGACGGGUGAGUAACGCGUGGGAACCUUCCCAAUGGUACGGAAUAGCUCAGGGAAACUUGAGGUAAUACCGUAUAAGCCCCUAGGGGGAAAGAUUUAUCGCCAUUGGAUGGGCCCGCGUCGGAUUAGCUAGUUGGUGAGGUAAUGGCUCACCAAGGCGACGAUCCGUAGCUGGUUUGAGAGAAUGACCAGCCACACUGGGACUGAGACACGGCCCAGACUCCUACGGGAGGCAGCAGUGGGGAAUCUUGGACAAUGGGCGCAAGCCUGAUCCAGCCAUGCCGCGUGAGUGACGAAGGCCUUAGGGUUGUAAAGCUCUUUUGCCGGGGACGAUAAUGACGGUACCCGGAGAAUAAGUCCCGGCUAACUUCGUGCCAGCAGCCGCCGUAA